rnacentral:rRNA from 1 species
AUGCCACACUAUGGAUUCACCCAGACCGAUCAAGGAUCAAGUUCAUGUUUGGGAACCAACAGCGUGAGUUGUCCAGGGACGAUUUCUUCGGGUGUCUUGGCCUGUCUUGCUGUGGUGCCCAAGUGCACACCUUGGCAUACCCCAAUGGGAACAGGGAUGAAGUUCACCUUGCCACCUGCACAGGACAUUCACCACCUAUACGUCAACCCUGAUGCCGCGAUGGAGUUCUGGAAGGAUCACAAUCAGUUGAACCAUGAAACAGCGGUUGUACACACAGUCAUGAGGAUGUCGAUCCAUCCUAGAGUUGGAGGCCUUGAGUCCCUAACUACAGUUGAGAUUUGGCUUCUGCACUUGUUGAGGUCAGCACAGCCUGUAGACAUAGUAGAUUUGAUGAUUGGAGAGAUGCAGGACACCAUUCUGACAAUCAGACGUCGUCUGCCCUACGCCCCGUAUCUCAUUCGCUUGUUUGACAAGAAAGGUUGGCUUGAGGAUGGCAUGAAAAAGGCUUUGGAUCAGCACCUCAAGCCAUACAAAGCUCCAAGGCCCGAUGACAAGAGGAGGCUCAAGAAUAGGGCACUUCAGCAUGACAAGUCGUACAAGGCUCCGAAGCCUGAUGACAAGAGGAGGCUUGUGACCAGGUCACUUCCAGCCCACAUGGAAGUUGUAUUUGAUGAUGAUGGGCAUGUAGUGUUGGAUCAUGCACUUGUCCCGAGCAUACAGGAGCAAGCUCUUUGGGACACCACUAAUGGGGAAGCUGACACAGAUCAUGGCCAACAUAUGGCGCCACCCCCAGUUCCUGAUGAGUUCAGAUUUGGCCAGCUGGGAGCUCACAACGUAGAGGCAGGAGGCUUGGCUGGUCAUACCUAUGACGUUCCUCCCAUGCUGCAGAGACAGACUGAUCGCCAGACGGCUAUCCUUGAGCAGAUGCAGAGACAGAUUGAUCACCAGACGGCUAUCCUUGAGCAGAUGCAGGGACAGAGACAGAUUGAUCCCCAGACGGCUAUCCUUGAGCAGAUGCAGAGACAGAUUGAUCGCCAGACGGCUAUCCUUGAGCAGAUGCAGAGACAGAGACAGAUUGAUCCCCAGACGGCUAUCCUUGAGCAGAUGCAGAGACAGAUGCAGGAUAUCCGCAACCUGGCUGUGGUUUCUAUUGGUCAGAGUAUUCGCCGUGACGCUCGCCACAGUGAUAUUCUGGCUCUUCUCGAUGAGAGUUUUAGUGCUUCCUGUGGACUCUAG